CAUAGCCUAGUGGACAUGGCAUCUGCCCGGUAAGCAGAACACUGUGGGUUCGAUUACCAUUCCUGGA
rnacentral:tRNA from 1 species